UACAUGAACAGUAUUCAUAUUCAUAUAGGGCU
rnacentral:piRNA from 1 species